rnacentral:rRNA from 1 species
AGUGAACGCUGGCGGUAGGCCUAACACAUGCAAGUCGAACGGCAGCACAGGAGAGCUUGCUCUCUGGGUGGCGAGUGGCGGACGGGUGAGGAAUACAUCGGAAUCUACUCUGUCGUGGGGGAUAACGUAGGGAAACUUACGCUAAUACCGCAUACGACCUACGGGUGAAAGCAGGGGACCUUCGGGCCUUGCGCGAUUGAAUGAGCCGAUGUCGGAUUAGCUAGUUGGCGGGGUAAAGGCCCACCAAGGCGACGAUCCGUAGCUGGUCUGAGAGGGUGAUCAGACACACUGGAACUGAGACACGGUCCAGACUGCUACGGGAGGCAGCAGUGGGGAAUAUUGGACAAUGGGCGCAAGCCUGAUCCAGCCAUACCGCGUGGGUGAAGAAGGCCUUCGGGUUGUAAAGCCCUUUUGUUGGGAAAGAAAUCCAGCUGGCUAAUACCCGGUUGGGAUGACGGUACCCAAAGAAUAAGCACCGGCUAACUUCGUGCCAGCAGCCGCCGUAA